AUCUCAUUUCACACGAUCAAAAUCCAUAUAAAUACUUCGAAAGCCAUUGUACUUGAAAUUCAAGUGCUAAAAAAAAAGCUCUCAUAAUUCUUAGUACUUAAAUUCUUAUAGAAAGGUUUGCAAUAUGGCAGCAGUACUUUCCAACAACACCAUAAGGUCCAUAGUGAUUACACUUAUGAUCUAUGUUAUUCUCUUGUCUCCUUUGCUACUAUGGUCUUGCGAUGCAUCUCGAGAGCUCGCGUCGAGGAAGUUUUCCCCAGGCGUUGCAUGUCUUCAUUGUGUGGGGUGUUGUGAACCAACACCCCCAGGCACCUGUUGCACCCGCUGUGGUUGUUGAAGUUUCUCUUCUAUGUCAGAAUUGAACGAGUUUGAUCAACAAUUGGUGUGACUUUGAGUUAUAUACGUACAUGUUAUUCAAUAAAGAAGGAACUUAUUGGUUUCUUUAGGUUAAUUUUAGGAGAGUUAAUUAUUGUGUGUACAUUGUGGGGAACACCGUAUUUGUAAUGUUUUGUAUUUCAAAGUUAAUAAAAAUUACGAGAAGAAAAGCCUGAAGUUUUAUCUUUACGUGAAGUUGUGACUGUUAACAAUUA